UGGCGGCAGGCCUAACACAUGCAAGUCGAACGGUAACAGGAAGAAGCUUGCUUCUUUGCUGACGAGUGGCGGACGGGUGAGUAAUGUCUGGGAAACUGCCUGAUGGAGGGGGAUAACUACUGGAAACGGUAGCUAAUACCGCAUAACGUCGCAAGACCAAAGAGGGGGACCUUCGGGCCUCUUGCCAUCGGAUGUGCCCAGAUGGGAUUAGCUAGUAGGUGGGGUAACGGCUCACCUAGGCGACGAUCCCUAGCUGGUCUGAGAGGAUGACCAGCCACACUGGAACUGAGACACGGUCCAGACUCCUACGGGAGGCAGCAGUGGGGAAUAUUGCACAAUGGGCGCAAGCCUGAUGCAGCCAUGCCGCGUGUAUGAAGAAGGCCUUCGGGUUGUAAAGUACUUUCAGCGGGGAGGAAGGGAGUAAAGUUAA
rnacentral:rRNA from 1 species